rnacentral:lncRNA from 10 species
GUAGAAUUCCUAGCGCUGUCAGCUAAAAUGAAGGUUUCUUCAAGAUGGGCCUCCAGGGCUAUUGCAAAACAGCUGCUGAUGGAAGGAAAUUCCACUUGCUGUGCCUUAUACCAGGCCGGGAGUGUCACAAGAGCCCUUUACAAGCUGCUCCCACAGUGACCAAAAUUGUCUUCUCGUGAGUGCAAAGCAGGACUCCACAGUUAUGUUGUCCCUGUGCCUGCAGCCUGUGAAUGGACGCCCCACCACCUCCGUCACAGCAGUGGUCAGCAUAGAUAAAUGCACAGAACACACAUCGCUCUGGCCCUCGGAGAAGAGAAUGUUAGGCUUCUGAAAGAAGAGAUAAGUACUGAGAGAUAACAUCUAAGAAUCAAAAUAAUAUAUUCAGUAAUUAUUUUCUGAACCACUGACCUAUCCUAAUGCUCUGACCGAUACAUUCUUUACAACAUCUACCCAUACAUUCCAAGGACCCUUUUUCCAGGGCCCUUUUUCUCCCUCCAUCCCUCUUCCUGCUCCCCCUCUUUUGCACAGGGCAUGUUUCACAUAUACAAGAUGUCCUUACGUGUCAUCCCACUUUAGAGAUGAGGAAAUUGAGUCUCAGGGAGGGUAAACAUCAACUUUGUCUUGGGGAAAGGGCAGGAAGCUGGAGGAGAGGAGGAAAUGAGCUCCGGAGAAGGACAGAGGACAUGGCUGGGAUCCUUAUGGGGUGGUGUAAGGGUACCCGUGCCCCAGGAUCUGUGGGGUGAGGGUGGCGGUGACCAGUGCUAGGACCAGCUCCUUCUCUCUCGCUCCCAAGCCCACAAGAAGGCAGGGAGAAAGGGUGAGGUAGGGGGCUUCGGGAGAGCGGAGAGAGUUUGGAAAAAAUCCAUCCCUCCUCCCCGGCGGCUUUCCGGAGACCCUCACACAGCGCCCCCCGCCCCGCCCCAGUACAUUUCCUUUCAGGGCUAAAGGCACAGGGAAGAGGCUGCCGGGAAAUGGCGGCCGCGGCCGGGCUGGGGCUUCAGCGGGAGGCAGCAGAGGGGAAGUGGCCAGCGUGGCGAAUAACGGAAGGUGGCGAAGGAGAGGAAGAGGGGUCGGGUGUCCGCGGAGCUCCGAGAGGGAAGACAAUCGCUUUGCCAAACAUGGCAGGGCAUCUGGAAAGGCCUGGGAACUUCACCCGCCCUCCGUCCCAGGCCCUUGGGGCUCUUUUCGGUCUCACUGGGAGGAGGGGGAGGGCGGCAGAAACUCACAUUGCUUGCUGGAUCAAGGACAGACAGCUCACCGACCAUGACAGCACCAUAUUGGAACUUCAAAAAGUUCUGAAAACAUGUUGGUUCGUUCGUUGGAUUAUUUUUCAACUCAAAUUCCUUUUCCUUUUUUUUUUUUUUUUUUGCGCACUUUUUCCUCUGCAGAAAAACCUUAAAAUGUUCUACCUUUUCCUUGAAGCCUCCCCCCACUCCUUAGUUCACAUUGAUUUGUCUUUAAAUGUUUUUGAGCAAAUAAUCAGAAAUGCACAAUUAGUGCUUGGUGGUUCUCAAAUUAUUUCACGCGUGGUAGUUUUGAUUUUUGCUUUUCCAGUGAGGCUGUACCUUUCAUCCUCAGGCAAAUAUGAUGGCUUUCAAAAGCAGCUAUGGGGUGGGAACUGGGAGUGGCUGCAAAUGGGCAUGGAGCGUCUUUUAGAGAUAACGAAAAUGUGGUGA